rnacentral:rRNA from 1 species
GUAGUCAUAUGCUUGUCUCAAAGAUUAAGCCAUACAUGUCUAAGUAUAAGCAACUAUACGGUGAAACUGCGAAUGGCUCAUUAAAUCAGUUAUCGUUUAUUUGAUAGUACCUUACUACAUGGAUAACCGUGGUAAUUCUAGAGCUAAUACAUGCUAAAAACCCCAACUUCGGAAGGGGUGUAUUUAUUAGAUAAAAACCAUCCUCCUCGGAGUUUGGUGAUUCAUAAUAACUUCUCGAAUCGCACGGCCUUGUGCUGGCGAUGCUUCAUUCAAAUAUCUGCCCUAUCAACUGUCGAUGGUAGGAUAGAGGCCUACCAUGGUAUCAACGGGUAACGGGGAAU